rnacentral:rRNA from 1 species
AUUGAACGCUGGCGGCAUGCCUUACACAUGCAAGUCGAACGGCAGCACGGGAGCAAUCCUGGUGGCGAGUGGCGAACGGGUGAGUAAUAUAUCGGAACGUGCCCGGUCGUGGGGAUAACGUAGCGAAAGCUACGCUAAUACCGCAUACGAUCUACGGAUGAAAGCGGGGGAUCGCAAGACCUCGCGCGAUUGGAGCGGCCGAUAUCAGAUUAGGUAGUUGGUGAGGUAAAGGCUCACCAAGCCGACGAUCUGUAGCUGGUCUGAGAGGACGACCAGCCACACUGGGACUGAGACACGGCCCAGACUCCUACGGGAGGCAGCAGUGGGGAAUUUUGGACAAUGGGCGCAAGCCUGAUCCAGCAAUGCCGCGUGCAGGAUGAAGGCCC